rnacentral:rRNA from 1 species
GACAGAGGAUGCAAGCGUUAUCCGGAAUGAUUGGGCGUAAAGCGUCUGUAGGUGGCUUUUUAAGUCCGCCGUCAAAUCCCAGGGCUCAACCCUGGACAGGCGGUGGAAACUACCAAGCUGGAGUACGGUAGGGGCAGAGGGAAUUUCCGGUGGAGCGGUGAAAUGCGUAGAGAUCGGAAAGAACACCAACGGCGAAGGCACUCUACUGGGCCAUUACUGACACUGAGAGACGAAAGCUAGGGGGAGCGAAUGGG